GCACCUAGUUUACACCUAGAAGAUUUCACACAAAAUGACCACUUUGAAACUAAACAUAGCUCAAAAUAUACUAUAUAUACAUAUAUAUAUUACCACCCCAAUAACAUUAAAAUAAAACAUUCAUAACAAUUAAAAGUAUAGGUGAUAGAAAUUUUACAUGACGCUAUAGAGAAA
rnacentral:rRNA from 1 species